UACGUAGGUGGCAAGCGUUGUCCGGAUUUAUUGGGUUUAAAGGGUGCGUAGGCGGCCCUGUAAGUCAGUGGUGAAAUACUCCAGCUUAACUGGAGGGGUGCCAUUGAUACUGCAGGGCUUGAGUGGAGUCGAAGUAGGCGGAAUUGACGGUGUAGCGGUGGAAUGCGUAGAUAUCGGGAGGAACACCAGUGGCGAAGGCGGUUGCCUGGAGCUUUGCUGACGCUGAGGCGCGAAAGCGUGGGGAGCGAUCCGG
rnacentral:rRNA from 1 species